rnacentral:misc_RNA from 1 species
GAUGAAGAACGUAGCGAAAUGCGAUAAGUAGUGUGAAUUGCAGAAUUCAGUGAAUCAUCGAAUCUUUGAACGCACAUUGCGCCCUUUGGUAUUCCAAAGGGCAUGCCUGUUCGAGCGUCAUUUGUACCCUCAAGCUUUGCUUGGUGUUGAGCGUCUUGUCUCUAGCUUUGCUGGAGACUCGCCUUAAAGUAAUUGGCAGCCGGCCUACUGGUUUCGGAGCGCAGCACAAGUCGCACUCUCUAUCAGCAAAGGUCUAGCAUCCAUUAAGCCUUUUUUUUCAACUUUUGACCUCGGAUCAGGUAGGGAUACCCGCUGAACUUAAGCAUAUCAAUAAGCGGAGG